UUUAUUAAAACAAUAUUAAAUAUUUAAAUUAAAUAAAAUUUCUUUUGUUAAAAAAUAAAAAGAAAAAACAUUUGAAAGAUAAAAAUUGAAAUUCACUUUUCUUAACAUCAGAAGUGAAUCACGUUCUCUCUCCAACCAAACAAGAACCCUAAUUUCGUGUUCCUCAAUUUCUUCUUAACAUUCGACACUACAAAUCGAAAUUCAUCUCAACAAUUUUGUGCCACAAUUGCAAUUCAUCUCAACGUUUCAGUGCUACAAUCGAAAUCCAUCUCGACGAUUCAGUGCUGCAAUCACAAUUCAUCUCAACGUUUUGGUGCUACAACAUCGCAAAUUCAAAUCAACACUAACCAUUUCUCAUAGCAAUUGUCUCUUCUGCGGGAUAUUCUCACUUUGAGUGUGAAAAACCAUUCAAGUCUUAUCAAGAGAGCUUCCACAUACAUCAUUGUUAUGGCUUCUUACUCGACACUCGGUAAUGUUUUUGUACACUAGUAUAAUAUUUCUAGAAUGUACAAGUGUGUUACUCAUGAUGAUGACAUUUUUGUUGUGAUAUAUAUUCGUGUUUAUGUAUGUUAAGUUGUGAUAAUGUAGGUUGAUAACAAAAUUUUGUUGUUGAUGUGAUACUUGGGAUAAUGAUUAUAACAGAACCAUCAAUGCAUUCUGUGACUGAGAAUUUGUGUGAAAUGUUAAUGUCUUGGUCUGGGUUCAUGAAUGAUUGUUUCAAAUUGUGAUUGUUCCAUGGAGGACUUGGUUCAUUCUCUCCUUUUUUAAUAGUUUAAGUUCUAAAUUGUGCUUUUGGAGAAGAAUUCUUGAUGGAAAAAAUGGAUAUUGGCCUUUCAGUGGUUAUAAAGAUUCAAGCAUCAAAUGAUUUGGGAUUGAAAUAUACUAUAGACUAUAGAGGGCCCAGAGAGACACCAUAGUUCAUCCUUAUUUUACAUGUUUGAUCAACUAAGAAGACUUAAUGGGGCAUGGAAUCCUAGUUUCUGUUUCUGUUUAUGUUUCUGUUGUAUCUAACUUUAUGCAUAUGAUCUUACAGAUUCAGUAAUAUUCCAUAAUUGUUAAUUUAGGUCAAUGACAUGCAAUAUAUUCCUCCCAUGAUUGGUUGAAA